rnacentral:tRNA from 1 species
UCUAAGGAUGAAUGAAAGUAAAAUUUCAUUCUAAAUAAUAUACAUCGGUAAUGUUGACCGUCCUCAUUUCUCUUCUUAAAGUAGUGUUUCUCUUGCAUGGGGGCCGGUAGCUCAGUUGGUUAGAGCACACCCUUGAUAAGGGUGGGGUCGAAAGUUCGAGUCUUUCUCGGCCCACCAAUAUAAGAUCAUGGGGGAUUAGCUCAGCUGGGAGAGCGCCUGAUUUGCAUUCAGGAGGUCAGCGGUUCGAUCCCGCUAUCCUCCACCAAAAACACUUAGUUAUAAAAAUAGUAAAUAAAAAUAAUAAUUAAUAUCAAUAUCUAUAUCCGAACAUUAGUAAUGUUAUUAGCUAAUGUUCAAAAUAAAAAUUUGAUUCAACACAGAAUUUUUUUCUG